GUACAGGGUGUUGCAGUACAUGUACAGGGUGUUGCAGUACAUGUACAGGGUGUUGCAGUACAUGUACAGGGUGUUGCAGUACAUGUACAGGGUGUUGCAGUACAUGUACAGGGUGUUGCAGUAUAUGUGUACAGGGUGUUGCAGUAUAUGUACAGGGUGUUUCGGCACAUGUACAGGGUGUUGCAGUACAUGUGCAGGGUGUUGCAGUAUAUGUGUACAGGGUGUUGCAGUAUAUGUACAGGGUGGUGUAGCAGUAUAUGUGCAGGGUGUUGCAGUUACUGUUACGGUGUGACAGGUUUAAGACUUGGGUUCAUUGUAUGUAGAUGAUAGAUAUGGCAUGUGUUGUUUUAGUUGAUUAGGGCAAAGGAAUGCCGAGAUUCAGACUCCAAGCUCAAGGAUUUUCUUUCUUGUAAAAAUAUACAGUUGCUGUGAAAAAUAAAUAUUUUGGAAGUAU